rnacentral:tRNA from 1 species
CGUGCGGUUCGCGAGGAUAGAGCGCGGUCAGUUCACGUCCGACCAUCAUGGUAAUAAUGUCAUCUUCGCUCAGGCCCGCAGCCGCACAG